UUUCAUUUCCUUUUUCUUUCAUUUGACCCAGCUAUUCCUCAGACAAGUCACCUAAACUUAGCCUCUAACGCUCCUCUUUUUCUGCUACACACACACACACACACACACACACACACACACACACACACACACUUUUUUCUGCUUAUGUUUGUAGGUAUAUGUUCCUGUAUACAAUGCAUAUGUUUCCAACUGGCAUUUCAGUACUUUGUAAUAAUUAGCCAAUACAGGUGAGAUUCCAGAAUCAUACCUUCUGUCUUGUCUCCCUUAGCAACCACUGAGAGAUACAGCAAGAAAGAGAAGAUGGGGCUUAAAAUUCAUGGAACUCUGACCGUUGAUGGCAUGGUGGUGUGAUAAGUGUGGGCCCCAUAGGCUUGGAUGUUUAGUUACUAGAGAGUGAAACUCUUUGAUAGGAUUAAGUGUGGCCUUGUUGGAUGAAGUGUGUCACUUAGGCAAUGAAGGGACAGUGAUUAAGAGGGAUGAAGUCAGAACAGCUGUGAUCACCCUCAAGUGACACAAGUGCUCAUUGGGUCCCCAAGCCAACCUUGGGUGGAGUCACCUCCUGUAGAUCAAGCCCGAAGACCUCGGUUCGAUUCCCAGAUCCCGUGAUGAAAGGAGAGUACCAGCCCCUCAAAAUUGUUCUCUGGCUUUCACAUCCAUCCUGCAGUAGGUAUGCCCCCCAUACACUAAUAAUAAAUAUCUUUUAAAAUGUAAAAAAUAAAUUUAAAAAUGUAAAAAAGAUAAA
rnacentral:sRNA from 1 species